rnacentral:misc_RNA from 1 species
AGUCGUAACAAGGUAUCCGUAGGUGAACCUGCGGAUGGAUCAUUAACAAAGGUGUUUUUGAAGUUAUGUGAACAGUUUUGGUGGUUGUGGGAGUGGUGGAUGGUUGUGGGGGGAGGUGGAAGUGGUUGUGGGGGGAGGUUGGAGUGGUUGGAGUGGUGGGAGUGGUUAGAUCAAAUCAAACCACACCAAACACACCACACCAAUCACACCACACCAAUCACACCCCACUCUCCUCACCCACAUCACCACUCCCAACUUUAAUGUACAAACUGAUGUCUGCCUAGUUUUCUAAACUAAAACAACUUUUAGCAACGGAUCUCUUGGCUCUC